AGAGUUUGAUCAUGGCUCAGAAUGAACGCUGGCGGCACGCUUAACACAUGCAAGUCGAACGAGAUCUUCGGAUCUAGUGGCAGACGGGUGAGUAACGCGUGGGAACCUGCCCAGUAGUAGAGAAUAACUUGGGGAAACUUAAGCUAAUACUUUAUACGUCCUUCGGGAGAAAGCUUUAUGCGCUAUUGGAUGGGCCCGCGUUAGAUUAGUUUGUUGGUGAGGUAACGGCUCACCAAGGCGACGAUCUAUAGCUGGUCUGAGAGGAUGAUCAGCCACACUGGGACUGAGACACGGCCCAGACUCCUACGGGAGGCAGCAGUGGGGAAUAUUGGACAAUGGGGGCAACCCUGAUCCAGCGAUGCCGCGUGAGUGAUGAAGGCCCUAGGGUUGUAAAACUCUUUCGUCAGGGAAGAUAAUGACGGUACCUGAAGAAGAAGAUCCGGCUAACUCCGUGCCAGCAGCCGCGGUAAUACGGAGGGGUCUAGCGUUAUUCGGAAUUACUGGGCGUAAAGCGAGCGUAGGCGGAUUUGUAAGUUGGAGGUGAAAUCCCAGAGCUUAACUCUGGAACUGCCUUCAAAACUACAUUUCUUGAGUUUGGUAGAGGAGAGUGGAAUUCCUAGUGUAGAGGUGAAAUUCGUAGAUAUUAGGAGGAACACCAGUGGCGAAGGCGACUCUCUGGGCCAAUACUGACGCUGANGUUCGGAAGCAUGGGUAGCGAACAGGAUUAGAUACCCUGGUAGUCCAUGCAGUAAACGAUGAGUGCUAGAUGUUGGGAAUUUAAAUUUCCAGUAUCGCAGUUAACGCGUUAAGCACUCCGCCUGGGAAGUAC
rnacentral:rRNA from 1 species